rnacentral:rRNA from 1 species
GACGAACGCUGGCGGCGUGCUUAACACAUGCAAGUCGAACGGAAAGGCCCUGCUUUUGUGGGGUGCUCGAGUGGCGAACGGGUGAGUAACACGUGAGUAACCUGCCCUUGACUUUGGGAUAACUUCAGGAAACUGGGGCUAAUACCGGAUAGGAGCUCCUGCUGCAUGGUGGGGGUUGGAAAGUUUCGGCGGUUGGGGAUGGACUCGCGGCUUAUCAGCGUGUUGGUGGGGUAGUGGCUUACCAAGGCUUUGACGGGUAGCCGGCCUGAGAGGGUGACCGGCCACAUUGGGACUGAGAUACGGCCCAGACUCCUACGGGAGGCAGCAGUGGGGAAUAUUGCACAAUGGGCGGAAGCCUGAUGCAGCAACGCCGCGUGCGGGAUGGCGGCCUUCGGGUUGUAAACCGCUUUCGCCUGUGACGAAGCGUGAGUGACGGUAAUGGGUAAAGAAGCACCGGCUAACUACGUG